GUGGCGGACGGGUGAGUAAUGCAUAGGAAUCUACCUUUUAGUGGGGGAUAACGUGGGGAAACCCACGCUAAUACCGCAUAAUCUCUACGGAGGAAAGUGGGGGAUCUUCGGACCUCAUGCUGAAAGAUGAGCCUAUGUCAGAUUAGCUUGUUGGUGGGGUAAUGGCCUACCAAGGCGACGAUCUGUAGCUGGUUUGAGAGAACGAUCAGCCACACUGGGACUGAGACACGGCCCAGACUCCUACGGGAGGCAGCAGUGGGGAAUAUUGGACAAUGGGCGCAAGCCUGAUCCAGCAAUGCCGCGUGUGUGAAGAAGGCCUGCGGGUUGUAAAGCACUUUCAGUUGGGAGGAAAGGUUUAAGUUUAAUACGCUUGAACUGUGACGUUACCAACAGAAGAAGCACCGGCUAACUCUGUGCCAGCAGCCGCGGUAAUACAGAGGGUGCAAGCGUUAAUCGGAAUUACUGGGCGUAAAGCGCGCGUAGGCGGUUUGUUAAGUCGGAUGUGAAAUCCCUGGGCUCAACCUGGGAACUGCAUUCGAAACUGACUGACUAGAGUAUGGUAGAGGGUGGUGGAAUUCCUAGUGUAGCGGUGAAAUGCGUAGAUAUUAGGAGGAACAUCAGUGGCGAAGGCGACCACCUUGGACCAAUACUGACGCUGAGGUGCGAAAGCGUGGGGGAGCAAAACAGGAUUAGAUACCCUGGUAGUCCACGCCCGUAAAAACGAUGUCAAUUAGAUUGUUUGGGAGGGUCUUACCUCUUUAGUGUCGCAACCUAACGCGUUAAGUUGACCCGC
rnacentral:rRNA from 1 species